CAUUAGGGAUUAGAGCCUGCAACUCGGGCUGUGCCCUUGACCAGAAUCAAACCCCUGACCAUUCAGUCCACAGGUCAAUGCUCUAUCCACUGAGCCAAACCGGCUAGGACUGCACUCUAGAUAUUAUCUGAAUUGAGAAUGUUAAGGUGAUUAUUUUACCUCUUGAUAUUUCUGUAGUAAUAUAGGUUCGGGGUUUUUUUUUCUUCUGACUUUCACUUAACAGACUAACUAGAAAAACUUUUUAUACAAAUUAUUUCCUUUUGGUGAGAUGGAAAAAGGGGGUUUUAUUCAAAACUAUCUAGCAUUUACGAUUUUAAGCUUAAGAUUUUCUUUUUAGUUGACAACCAAAAUUUCUUUUGGUUCUCACUUUGUAUAGAUAUAAAAUUUAAAUACCAGAAUUCCUGUCUGUUCUUGAAACUGUUGUUCCAGUGUUUUGUGAGCAAUUAAGCGGAGGGUAAGGUUGAAGGAGGCAGGCCUGAAAUAUGGUAAAGUUGGUUAGUUAAUUCUCUUUGAGUGAGGCUAAUUGAUUAAUUUUGACUGCGACUUCAAAAUUUCCAGUGCAUUCUUACAUAGCUAACCUUGAGUUAGAAAUAGUGGUUUCUGGGACUGUAAAUAGUGAAAAUUAGCCUCUAUAUAUUUUUCGUUAAUUUGUACCCCGUUCAAUACCUUCCCCUCUAGACUUGAGCCACAUAAAUAUAUAUAUAUAUAUAUAUAUAUACACUAAGGAUGUUUUUAAUUUAUAUCUCCUGCUGAUCUUUGUAAACUCAUAAUGAAAAAUCAACUCCUAAUGCUUUUUAGUAUGAACAAUGAUAGUUUUCUAAAAUCAGAAAAUUGGUACCUGAGUAUGUGAUAAUGGUGAUGCAUUCUUCUAGAUAAAGUACUAAACAAUGUAUGGACCCUCAAUUUAUGUCUUUAAGAUUUAAACUGAAGUAAAUUUCUAAGGAACUCUGUCCUUUCCUAGCAAGGAUAAGCAGACAUUGAAAAUUUGGUAAGUAUUUAACUUUAAAUGCAUGUGAUAGUGAUGAAAAAAAGUAGCCAAAUUUCCAUAGUUUUAAGAUAAUAUGUAGACAUGAACAAGAAUUCUUGGAUCUCCUUUGCGACCUAAUGUCUGUCUGUCUUGCCAGCAGUUUUAUAAACUAGUGUUCACAAUGAUUAAAUUGGAAUGUACCUUACUCCUUGUCUGGUUUGGUUAUUUUUUUUCUUUUGUAUGGUGCUUUAAAAUACUAAUUUUAUAUUUAAAGCUUUUUUUCAAGGUUAUCUUCAAGAACUAUUAUUCAGAUGUCCCUAUUUUUAAACCCAAUGACAACUUUGAAUUUACAAACAUUUGUUUUCUAGCUCCAAUUAAAAAUGAAAAAUAGGCAGCUGAUUAUAAAAACUGGGGGGGGAGGGUUAUUUGUGCUCUUUGUGGAAUAUUUGUAGGAAUCGAUAUAUUGCAGUAAAAUAUUGUUAACUGCCAAGGUUGCAGGUUCAUUCCUGGGUCAGGGUACAUACAGGAAUCAACCAAUGAAUCCAUGAAGUGGAACAAUAAACCUGUGUGCAAAGAAAGAAGAACGCCCUCGCCAGUGUGGCUAAGUUGACUGGAGCGUCAUCCCUUGCACAGAGGUCGUGGGUUUGAUUCCCAGCCAGGGGGCAUCUAGGAGGCAACCAGUCCAUGUAUUUCAUAUCAGUUCUCUCUAUCUCUUUGUCUUCCUUCCUCCCCAAAACCAAUUUUCCUUGAGGGCAAAAAGGAUGGUAUAUGGAAGUUAAAUGUAAUUGCUUCAACCAAGGAAGGUGACUUAUUUCUGAGUAGUAUGCUCAUUUCUUUCCAAGGUAGUAUUCCAUUAAUUUUUGAAGUGCCACAAGAUCCCAAUGGAUUGUAGGAAGGAGGGCCCUUCCCUCAGUUUAGUCUCCAGGCUUCAUGCCAGUAUUGUACUGGCAUGGAGGGAAAUGAAGAGCAAAUCAUACAAGAGACAUGAUGGUAAGGGGGACCUGAACAAAAGGGAAGAUGGUGAAUGGCUAGAUCAUGUAUGUGAUUAAGUGGUCUAGCUAAACAAAAACGAUAUGGUGGCAUAAUUUUUAAUGUAAGAAAAUGAAAUCACUGAUAUAUAUAUAUAAAGGUUGACUUAUUAGCUUAAAAUUAACAUUCAAACUGGCGAUUGCAUUUUGUGGGCUUUUUUUUUUAAUAAAAACUUAUAACAAAUAAUAGUUCCUUUUGUCAUUUUGAUGUAGUGCAUUUGGGAGGUAGUAUAAAAGAAAAAUAGUGUUUUACUUAUAUUGAAUUUUAGUCUACUUGUGCCUUUGGGGAGAAAAGAUGUUCCUCAGUUUAUGGCACCAUAUAAUUAAACUGAAACAAAGGGUACUAAAGUUUUUUUGAGUUGCUCUAAGGGCUGUUUGUUGGGCUUUGAACUAGGUUUUGAGGCAUUGUUAGGCUUGGGAUAAAUUG